rnacentral:rRNA from 1 species
UGGGGAAUCUUGGACAAUGGGGGCAACCCUGAUCCAGCCAUGCCGCGUGAGUGAUGAAGGCCUUAGGGUCGUAAAGCUCUUUCGCCUGUGAAGAUAAUGACGGUAGCAGGUAAAGAAACCCCGGCUAACUCCGUGCCAGCAGCCGCGGUAAUACGGAGGGGGUUAGCGUUGUUCGGAAUUACUGGGCGUAAAGCGCACGUAGGCGGACCAGAAAGUUGGGGGUGAAAUCCCGGGGGCUCAACCCCGGAACUGCCUCCAAAACUAUUGGUCUAGAGUUCGAGAGAGGUGAGUGGAAUUCCAAGUGUAGAGGUGAAAUUCGUAGAUAUUUGGAGGAACACCAGUGGCGAAGGCGGCUCACUGGCUCGAUACUGACGCUGAGGUGCGAAAGUGUGGGGAGCAAACAGGAUUAGAUACCCUGGGUAGUCCACACCGUAAAACGAUGAAUGCCAGUCGUCGGGUAGCAUGCUAUUCGGUGACACACCUACGGAUUAAGCAUU